GUUUUAAUAGUUUAAAUAAAAACAUUGAUUUUGUAAAUCAAAAAAAAGAAAUUCUUUUAAAACU
rnacentral:tRNA from 1 species